AGUGAACGCUGGCGGUAGGCCUAACACAUGCAAGUCGAACGGCAGCACAGUAAGAGCUUGCUCUUACGGGUGGCGAGUGGCGGACGGGUGAGGAAUACAUCGGAAUCUACUUUUUCGUGGGGGAUAACGUAGGGAAACUUACGCUAAUACCGCAUACGACCUACGGGUGAAAGCAGGGGAUCUUCGGACCUUGCGCGAUUGAAUGAGCCGAUGUCGGAUUAGCUAGUUGGCGGGGUAAAGGCCCACCAAGGCGACGAUCCGUAGCUGGUCUGAGAGGAUGAUCAGCCACACUGGAACUGAGACACGGUCCAGACUCCUACGGGAGGCAGCAGUGGGGAAUAUUGGACAAUGGGCGCAAGCCUGAUCCGGCCAUACCGCGUGGGUGAAGAAGGCCUUCGGGUUGUAAAGCCCUUUUGUUGGGAAAGAAAAGCAGCAGGUUAAUACCCCGCUGUUCUGACGGUACCCAAAGAAUAAGCGCCGGCUAACUUCGUG
rnacentral:rRNA from 1 species